UUGAAGAAGUUGUUUGUUGUUGAUGGAUCUACAUGGUCAAGCCAUAGCAAUUGCAAAAAUGAUGAGGAAAUUGUAGCUAUUAUUGCUCAUGAACUAGGCCAUUGGAAGCUUAAUCACACAAUGCAUUCAUUUAUUGCGGUGCAUAGAAACUGGGGCCUUGUGUGCAAUGAAGGAAGUUGAUCUCAUUCCUGAUGAUCCAAAAUCUGCAGAAAGUAUAAAACAAUUGGAGGAGAUACUUCCAGGUUUUAUUGAUGCCAAAGGCAGCUGAAGGCUAUAAGAACCAUCCAGAAUAUGAAUGUUUUUUAUUCAUGUAUAACCAGCUAGGAAUGCUCUUGUUUGGUACAUUAUCUAGUUAAUUGAAUGUAUAGAUGUUUGGAUAAUGGUACUUGAAUUAUAUGGAUUAGAGUACUGUUUAUAUGGUAAUAUAUCGAGCAUUAUAUAUGGACAA
rnacentral:lncRNA from 1 species